CUUUCCCUGUCCCCUCUCCCCCCUCUCGUUAUCUUUCCCUCUCUCUCCCCCAUCUCGUUCUCUCUCUCUCUCUCUCUCUCUCUCUCUCUCUCCCUCUCUCUCUCCUAGUGCACAGUGUGACUCACAUGCUAGGAAUGUGGUGGGCUGGCCCUAGAACUAUUAAUAUCAGCUUUCCUGGGGUCCGCUAAGUUUCCUUGGGCUGCAGCUCAGCCUCUAGACACUACCUUUAUUAUAGGCAUUAACAACAUCCCCCUAUUUGGACUUUUCCCUAGGAACAAGAUGUUUAGGCCGUACCCAUGACUUGCUGUGUGUGUGUGUGUGUGUGUGUGUGUGUGUGUGUGUGUGUGUGUGUGUCUUGGAUGGGUUCUGGUCUGCUGCUACUAAUUUCCACCAGACAGUUUCAAAUAGACAAGAUAUGUCCAAGCCCUGUAGGAAAUCUCUUCUUUGAAUAACACACUAACCUUUUCCCAGAUUUCCUAAUCAGAUCAACGGGCAAUUCUGCUGACAGAACAGUGUUGCCUUUCCAACACAACAAUAAUGUGGAGCAAAUGUCUUGACAUUUCCUCAUGAGCUGUUUCAAAACGAUUUAGUUGCUCAAAAACAUUUUCCACACACACACACACACACACACACACACACACACACACAAAACAUUCUACGUGGCAUUCACAUGGCGUCAAGACUACAGCAUAUGAGAACCAUACAGAGUAUGGAACACCCCCAAAGAACAGCCCACUAAACAGGGGUCUCCAACCACGUCAUUGGGCGGAUACAUGGGGAAUUCCUCACCAAGACGCCCCGUGAAGGAUUAAAAGCAUGGAAAGGACUUUGGAUAUAUUUAACUUUGAAUGAGCGCCAUCUAAUGGACAUAAAUAUUUUUUGUAAAGAUGUUUUCUAUUUUUCAGAAACACGACGAUGUUACGUCGGCCUGUAGGAGGUAUGAACGCACCAUUUGCACUAGAAUUCGAACGUAGAAGAAGAAGUUAUUUUUGCAAUAGCAGAGAGGAAGAGGCGAAGCAAGAGGGUUUACUCGGACCAAAAUCUGCCCAGGAAAAUAAGAUCACGAAGUGAGGAAUUUUUGUAUAGAGGUCAACGAGUGUCGAAUUUGUUCAACAACUGUAAUUGCUAAUUUGCUACGUGAGGCUUAUUUAAUCGAAUCUAUGAAAAAAAUACUUUAUAUCGGAGUUGUAGCUGUUGUUGACACAAGAAUACAUGUAUUUGUUGAUUCACCUUUUUUGUUGAUUUUGUAUGUACUAGACAAAGAACUGCUUUUGAUUGAAAUGAAUGUCACAUGCUAUGAGAACAGUGUUGUUCCCUAAAACAGUUUGGUUUGUUUAUCUUUGGUCAGUACAGGUGCAUCAAAGCACGGACCGAGAGACUGAAAAACAGCUUCUAUCUCAAGGCCAUCAGACUGUUAAACAGCCACCACUAACAUUGAGUGGCUGCUGCCAUACAUGUAAAAAAUGUACCACUAGCCACUUUAAACAAUGACACUUAAUAUAAUGUUUACAUACCAUACAUUACUCAUCUCAUAUGUAUAUACUGUACUCGAUACCAUAUACUGCAUCUUGC
ensembl:lncRNA